UGCCUGAUCUUAUUAAUGCCAUAAACAAUUAAAAUACCAGACAUAAUGAACAGCCUUAAAAUGCUGAUAUAGGAACUUACUCUCGAGCGGUUCUUAAUAAAUCAUACAUCGAAAAAGAGGUGUUUAAUAUGUUGUGAAAGUUAGAUCUACCUCGUAACCAAUUUAUGCAAUGCUCGUAUUUGACAACUAUGAAAAAGAGGAAGUAAUCGUAAUAUCUCACGAUUUUUACGUUUUGUAGUAUCAAACAUGUUUAACCGACGGUAUGUCAUUUAGACAAUUAUAAAUAAUUAAAAUAAUUAAACAAUUAUAAACAAUUAUAAGCAAUUAAAACAAUUAAAUUUUUAUUGUUUAUAAUUGGUUGUCUUUCAAAUGAAGAAAACAUUUAUUGUGGAAGCAAAGCAAAUAGACAAUUACACUUCAAAAUGAAGAAGAACAAUGUUGGGAAAAUGAUAUUAAAAAGUUGGAAACAAUGGAUGAUAAACAAUUAAAAAAAAUGGCAAAGAUAAAAGAUAAAAGUUUUCAAUAAAAAUAAACAAUCCAAUUUUAAUGACGGAUAGUGAAAGUCCAAAAAGAGAAGUUGUUCUGGAUGAUAUCUAUAUAGAUAAAUUUAAAGUCUUUAAUAAAAAGAGGGAAAUAAAAGAAGCAAUGGUUUAAGCACCAUGGUGACUGUUUGUAAAAGGUCACUUCCUGAGAGAACCUAAGUCAAAUAUAACGCGUAAGUUUUUUAAGUAAUAAAUAAGAUACUAUAAUAAAGUUUAUUAUGCUCGCUUCUUUGUAUUUGGAAUUUGAAAUAUUAUUGUAUGAUAGUAUAGCAUGUAUUAUUUAUGAUUAAAAUAUUAUUCAUAUGUAACAUAUAAACAUUGCAUUUAUAUAACUUACUAAUAUUUAAUCAGGAUGGAUCAUCCUGUCAUUCAUGUUUCUUGAAAUGACGCAUUCUUAUUAUUAAGAUGCACUACAUGAUCACAUAAAUGCAUAUAUCAACAAAA